AGUGAACGCUGGCGGUAGGCCUAACACAUGCAAGUCGAACGGCAGCACAGUAAGAGCUUGCUCUUACGGGUGGCGAGUGGCGGACGGGUGAGGAAUACAUCGGAAUCUACUUUUUCGUGGGGGAUAACGUAGGGAAACUUACGCUAAUACCGCAUACGACCUACGGGUGAAAGCAGGGGAUCUUCGGACCUUGCGCGAUUGAAUGAGUCGAUGUCGGAUUAGCUAGUUGGCGGGGUAAAGGCCCACCAAGGCGACGAUCCGUAGCUGGUCGGAGAGGAUGAUCAGCCACACUGGAACUGAGACACGGUCCAGACUCCUACGGGAGGCAGCAGCGGGGAAUAUUGGACAAUGGGCGCAAGCCUGAUCCAGCCAUACCGCGUGGGUGAAGAAGGCCUUCGGGUUGUAAAGCCCUUUUGUUGGGAAAGAAAAGCAGCAGGUUAAUACCCCGCUGUUCUGACGGUACCCAAAGAAUAAGCACCGGCUAACUUCGUG
rnacentral:rRNA from 1 species